rnacentral:rRNA from 1 species
CAGCAGCCGCGGUAAUACAGAGGAUGCAAGCGUUAUCCGGAAUGAUUGGGCGUAAAGCGUCUGUAGGUGGCUUUUCAAGUCCGCCGUCAAAUCCCAGGGCUCAACCCUGGACAGGCGGUGGAAACUACCAAGCUUGAGUACAGUAGGGGCAGAGGGAAUUUCCAGUGGAGCGGUGAAAUGCGUUGAGAUCGGAAAGAACACCAAUGACAAAAGCACUCUGUUGGGCUGACACUGACACUGAGAGACGAAAGCUAGGGGAGCAAAUGGGAUUAGAUACCCCCGUAGUCCCUGUCUCUUAUAC